CCUACGGGAUGCAGCAGUGGGGAAUAUUGCGCAAUGGGCGAAAGCCUGACGCAGCGACGCCGCGUGAGGGAUGAAGGUCUUCGGAUCGUAAACCUCUGUCAGCAGGGAAGAACGGUCACUGUGCUAAUCAGCAGUGAAUUGACGGUACCUGCAAAGGAAGCACCGGCUAACUCCGUGCCAGCAGCCGCGGUCAUACGGAGGGUGCGAGCGUUAAUCGGAAUUACUGGGCGUAAGGCGCUCGUAGGCGGUAUGUCAAGUCAAGGGUGAAAUCCCCGCGCUCAACGUGGGAACUGCCUUUGAAACUGGCAAACUGGAGUGUGUGAGAGGAUAGUGGAAUUCCAGGUGUAGGAGUGAAAGCCGUAGAUAUCUGGAGGAACAUCAGUGGCGAAGGCGACUAUCUGGCACAUAACUGACGCUGAGGAGCGAAAGCGUGGGUAGCAAACAGGAUUAGAUACCCUAGUAGUC
rnacentral:rRNA from 1 species